CUCAGGACCUUGUGCUUGCCAGGCAGGCGCUUGUGCCGCUGAGUUAUAUCCCUGGCCCUGUGUUCUUCAGUUCCUCCUACAUUACUGCUUUCUAUUGUUAGGUUUUUCUUAGUGUAUCAUUUUUAUAUGUGUUUCUCUUUCUCUCUCUAUCUCUGUGAUGUUUGACUUCCUGAGUCUAAUUUCACUCUGUGUGUGUGUUAUUUUUCAGUUAUCUUCUUAGUUGUUGCUUAGGGAUUACAACUAAUACCUUAAUUUGUAACAAUUACAUUAGUUCAAUUAAUACAACUAACUACAAUACUAUACAAAGCAUUAUUUCUGUGUAGCUCUGUCAUUCCUGUCCACUUGUGAUAUCGUCACAAAUUGUAUGUUUGUAUGUUGUACAAACAUACAAUAUAUAUUCAUAAUCAUUGUUUUAUGUUAGUUUUAAAAUUACAUAGAAAAAAAGAAGAGUUACAAAUCAUAGAUGAUUUAGGGCUGACUUACAUUUCUUUAUUAUUAUAAAUACAUAAUAAUGAUAUAUUUAUUAUACCAUAUAUUCAUUGCACAGUUAUAGUUGUUAUAAAUAUAAGCAUAGAACUAUAAAUAUAUUAUUUUAUAAGAUAAAAAUAAUGUACUGAUUUAAUAUAGCAUUCAUAUUUUACAUAAUUAUACACAUAUUGUUUAAUUUUUAGUAUUUUAUUGGUACAGGUCAAAAUUACAUGAUGGCAGGGUUUAUCUUGGGGAGUUGGUAUAUGGACUUAACACAUCUUAAACAGCGUCAAUCCCUUUGACCCCUUUUCUCCUUUCUUCUCCCACCUGCAUGUCCCCUUACCCAUCUUGAGAAGUCCACUCCUGGUUUCCCGUCCUUUCUCAUUUAUUGAUUUGGCUUCUCAUAUAAGAGAAAACAUGUGCUGUUUAGCUUUCUGAGUUUGGUUAAUUUCACUCAAUAUCACGGUUUCUAGGCCACGCAUUUUCCUACAAAUGACAGGAUUCCAUCCUUCUUUAUGGCCAAGUCAUAUUCCACCAUGUGCAUGCAUAUACCACAUGUUCUUUAUCCAUCCACCUGUGGACGGGCAGCUAGGCUGUUUCUACAGCUCAGUUACUGUGACUGGCACUGCUCUAGACAUGGGUAGGCGUGCACCAUGACAGCACACGAUCCUGUUUGUUUUGGGAAUAUGGGUCCCGUAACAUCUCUGUGUUUAGUUUUUGAAAAUUACCUUAUCGACAGCCUUUGCUUUUUCAUAUGAAUUCAAGUCACUGUUUAAAGCAUGCCCCUUCAUUUCAGCCAGAAGGACCUCUUUUAUCGUUUCUCAUAAGGCAAGUCUCCCAGCAGAGAAUAAGUUCCACUUCUGUUUCCUGAGGAAUGUCUUCAUUUCUCUUGCAUUGUUGAAGGGUAGCCUCCUGCACAGAGAACCAUUGCCUGACCAGAGCAUGAAGAAGUCGUCCUCUGUCCCGUGGUGUCCCUGGUUUCUGAGCUGACAUCAGCCGUCAGUAUCAGUAAGGACAACAUCUCUAUGAUGAGUCACCUCUCGCUGGCUGCUUCUAGGGGUCCGGCUUUGGUUUUCAGCAGUGUGACACAAUGUGUCUCAGUGAGAAUCUUGGGGCUGCUUGCGACACUUGGACGUGUGGUGUGACACUGGCCACAUGGCCGUCAUCCAUUCUCUCUGCUUUCCCUGGCUCCUGGUGACAAUGAUGGUGUCUCUGGGUUGUCCCUCCCAUCUUCUGGGUGCUGCUUUUUUUCCUUUCACUUUUCUAUCUCCUCGGACAGGGAAAUCUCAGCGCAUCCACCUUCAGGCUUUCUGAGUCUUUCUUCAGCUUGCUCAUGUAAGCGCUGACUCUCCCUGAAAGCUUUUUUCACUUCAGUCAUUGGACCUCAACCUCAGAAUGCUCUUUGGCCCCCUUAUGAGUCCUAUCUCUGUCUUGAUCUUCUCUAUGUGUUGGUGUAUCAACCUCAUGGCUUUUGUAGCUCUUUGGGUUGAUUUGAAGUUGCCUUGGACUUUGUGCAGUGAGUUCAAAGUCUUGGCUUUCUUGUGGGUCAUCUCCAUUAUGUUCGUCCUGUUUGGGGGAGGGGCAUCUUUGUUUUAUUGCAUGACUCAUAAUUUUUGGUUGAAAAUUAAACACUUAAAAAAAAAAAAAAAGCAAAGUGAACACUUUUCCUUAGAGUGUUGCAACUCCGGUCGUCACAUCUCCCUCCCCCUCACUGGAGUCUAUUGUUGCUGGUUGUUGUAACCGCUGUUGGCUUAGUUCUCCUUUCUCCAUUAAUUUUGUGAAGAUUCUGUCCUUUGUCAUGUGCAGCCACAAGGCCUUUGUUCUUACAGUCGGUGAGCGGUUUAGACACAGAAUUGUAUUCUCUGUCUGGAGCCAAAUGGGAAAAAAACUCCGUGCCUCCAAGCCCAAGCCGGGUGUCUCCAGCUCUGCCUUAAUCUCCGCAGCCCUGGCCGUGGACCCCUCGGUCCUCAGGCAGAUGUGGCAGCAGUUCAAAGCCCUAUUUUCUCCAAGUGUCCCAGUCGAUUUCCAGCCUUUGUUCCUGAGCCCUUGUUUUUUUUUUUUUGUUUUGUUUUUUCGUUUUGUUUUUCUCCGGUACCGGGAACCGAACUCACGACCUUGCGCUUGCCAGGCAGGCGCCUUUGCCGCUGAGCUAAAUCCCCAGCCCCCUUGAGCCCUUGCUUUGUCCACAGUUUGCCCCGGCUAUGUUCUGGUGCCCCAAGGAGAAGUGGUUAAUGUGCAUGCCUUUCGGUGUUCUUCACAAAUGUCUUCUGGGAAGCUGCUUCGGCCCUUAGAGACAGCGCAGAGGUGACCCCGCUCUUCAGGAGUCACCAGAUGGGUCCGAACGAAGCCACAGUUCCUGCGAAGAGGGCCAUUCUGCUGCCCUCUGCACCGGGAAUCUGUGCCCGCCCGGAAUGUGGGCGCUUCCCUCCAAAGCCGUUGCCCAGCUGGGUUCACUCAAACACCACAGAGCUCUGCUAUCAGGAUGCUGGUGAGGUUUUGCUAUUUUAUCUUUUUGAUUAAACAUGUUCACACCUACUAUAAAUGUUUAGUUUUUCUAGUUCCAGCAAAGCUGCUUCUGAUGGAUUUGGGCCGUCCCUGUGCCCCUUCUGCGGAAGGACGGCUUCUGCCCAUGUAGUGCUGGCCAGCGGGCAGAUCUGUCCCUAUCAUUCACUUCAGGAACCCUGGGGAAUCUGGGCUCUGCUGGACUGGCCGUCUUUGUCCCCGGGUGGGGCCGACCACCUCCAGGAAGAGUCCGCAGCAGGAAGGAGAGGGCUUAAUCCUGGGCACCGGGUCGCACCCACAUCCCCAGGCCGCCCACGGGGCACACUGGCUGCCUUCCUCUGCCAGCCCUGUGCCGGUGCCCAGGGCUCUUCCAGCUGCUGGCACUGCCUCUCCCCACAGGCGGGGUCGCUCAGGAUGCCAGGACCCGGCCGUGCCCUAAGCUGGCAUUUGGAGCUCCUGGGUGGCUGAGCCUGCUGCCCAGAGGGUGACGGGCAUGCCAACCCCUCCUCCCCAGCCCCUUCCUCUUUACCUCAGUCUGGCUCCCACAAGGCCUUCUCAGCGGGAGGUAAACUAUUUGUGCUCAAUUCCUUGGCUCAAGUCUGGUGUAGGGGAGCCCAGGCUGAGACACAUCCUGUCCCUCCUCCCUUCCUAAAGAAGUCUCCUGUCUUUCCUCUGAGUUUGCUUCCCUUUCAACCCCCAAACAGUGGGCAAGCAGAUGGACAGAAUGGUCUGCUUCCCACACGGUGGCCUGCUCCACUUGGAGUGAAGAUCAGCAGCAGCAGCCAUCUUCUGACCCCGUACGCAGGGGCUACCACCUCCGUCCCCACCCUGGGCCCAGCCUGUGCUCUGUCUGCCGAGCUCCUCCCUCCACUGUCACUGGUAACCUGGCCAGCGACCCUGAGGGUUUAACCCGAAAGCCAUUUCCACUGAGCUCCUCAGAGCCCCCCACGUUCUCCCAUCAUUCUGUCCCAGAAGGCACCGCUGUUCUCCUUCCUGCUCGUCUCGCCAUGGCUUGGCGGGUUCUCUGGGGAGGACCUGUCUCCAGUAAACCAAAGAGAACUGUUGCCAUGGGCCUGAAGUCCAGGCGCAGGCCUUGGUCCUGUGAUGGGGACAGGAGAAUGAGACUUUCUGUACCUGUGGUGCCAGCCAAGACUUCCCUCAAGGCUACCCUGGCCUCCAAGCUGUCAGAGGCCAUCAUCUCGUCAUCUCAGACGCAGCAUCGACCCUGUCCUCCCUGAAGCACUGUCUGCUGCCCUCCAGAGGAACUCCUUCUUCACUCAGACCCUCUCGGUCCUUCCACCGGUGUCUCCUCAUGGGCUGGACCUCUGAACAGUGUGCAGGGCACAGGCCUCAGGCCUCCUUCACUCACCUCCGCACAGGCUGUCCCUGACGAGGCUGAUGUUCAUCUCAGCUGCAAGGUUCUAAGCGCCUCCUGCAAGCUGACAGCCUCCACACCACGUCCUGACCUGGGCCUCUUCCUGGACCCCUGGUCUCUGUGUUCCGCUGGCCUCCACCCCCAGCAACCUCCACUUGAGUGACUAGACAGGGACAAUCCAAACACCUGGUGAGUGUUUACACUUUGAAAAGUUAUUACAGUGCAAGAAAUAUUGCUAUGAAUCUUCCUCAGAGUCUUCCCCCUCUCCUUGAAUGCACUAAUCCCGUUGUGCUUGCCAAUUUCUGCAGCAGCUCUGGAGUCUUCUUUCCUGUGUGUCUUUACAAGGUGUGAUAAAAAAUACAAUGAAUGCUGUUGCUGAGCUCCAUUCAAGCAAAAGGCAGCUCGUGAAAACAUGAUUCUGUGUCCUCAUCCCUUUAUUCACCGGGUGUGGCACCACGCAACUUCUGGCUCUUCCCCAGAAUCAAGAUGACCAUGAAAAGAAAAUGUUUUGAAUCAGUUCAGGACUUCAAGGCCGCCAGAACAGCACAUCUAAAGACAGAAAAGGGGGCUUUGAGAGCGCUUCAGAAAGUAGCAAGGAUGGUGGGAUGAGUGUGUUCAAAAGGAGGGGGAGGACUUCAAGGAGGAUUAAAGCUAGGUGUGUGUUGUGUAAUAAAUUCUUGGAACUUGAACAUUCACAUAGUCUCUAAUCGCAUCUUGUAGAUAUGUCAAACUGCGUUGGUCAGGUUUGCAUUGUGACGAGACACCUAAGAGGACCAACUCCCAGCAAGAGAGAGGUUCGGAGCUCAAGUCCGAGGUCAGCAAUCUUCAUUGCCUUUGAGCCACAGUGACCCAGAGCAUCAUGGUGGGACAACGAUGAUGGCCUCAUGGUGACCAAGAAGCACAAACAGAGCAGAAGGGGCUGGGAUAACGCCAGUGCCCCCCUCAAGAUCGUGCCCUCAGAGAAGCAGCUUCCUCCCACAAGGCCACCUCCUGAAAGCUGCGUAACUUUGUCCAGCACCACGGCUGGUGACCAGACCUCCACACGGGCCUUCAGGGCGUGUCCUGUCCACAGCCUGCGCCAGAGCCCCAGCGCUCUUCACGCCACCCUGCUCUGUUUGCUGUCUCCCCACUGCAGGAAGCAGCAGCCCUGAUGCUGUGAGUAGGCCGCAAAUGCUAGUUUCCCCUGACUCCUCGGCCAAGCAGUCCACCACGUUAUACAAAUCAGCCUCUUUCUGCCUUUGCUUUCCUGCCGUUCUGUCUCAGCUCUGCAGCCUGAGUGACUUUUCAAAGAGUCAGCCAGGCCACGUUAUUCCUCUGCGCAAGAAACUCGAGCAGCGACAUCCACUAUAUGCACAGGACAACCCUAAAUCCCCACAGUAACAAACAAGCCCUGCAUGAUCAGCCCUGCCUCCCUCUAGGUCCCCUCGCCUCCUGCCCUCUCCUCCUCUCUCCCUCUGCUCCCCAGCUUCGUUGCCAUUCCAGGAUAGCCAUGCACUCUCUGCACCAGGGCCUGUGCAUGGCUGCUACUCCUGCAGAACUUCCCAAUACAUUCUCAAGACAUGGCCUAAGUGUCUUCCAAUUCUGCACGUCAGUCUCUCCGUAAUACCUUUCAUGACCUCCCUGCUGUGCACAGCACACCCAUUCCCUCAGGACUUCCUACAGCCUUAGCUUCCUUUGUUUUCACAGCACCUGUUCCCCUGAUGGUCUCUCUGCUUAUUGCCCAUCUCCUUAUCUAGAGCAGAGGGCCUAUGAAGAGGGAACCAUGUGCAUGACUCACCCCGUGGUCCUGUGCUUGGAACAAGUCUGCCAAAGAAUGGAUGAGGCUGUGCUCAAUAAAAUUGAGAGAUUAAAUCAA